rnacentral:rRNA from 1 species
UACGUAGGGAGCUAGCGUUGUCCGGAAUCAUUGGGCGUAAAGCGCGCGUAGGCGGCCCGGUAAGUCCGCUGUGAAAGUCAAAGGCUCAACCUUUGAAUGUCAGCGGAUACUGCCGGGCUAGAGUCCGGAAGAGGCGAGUGGAACUCCUGGUGUAGCGGUGGAAUGCGCAGAUAUCAGGAAGAACACCAACGGCGAAGGCAGCUCGCUGUGACGGAACUGACGCUAAGGCGCGAAAGCGUGGGGAGCGAACAGG